rnacentral:rRNA from 1 species
CUGGAGGUAUCAGAAGUGCGAAUGCUGACAUAAGUAACGAUAAAGCGGGUGAAAAGCCCGCUCGCCGGAAGACCAAGGGUUCCUGUCCAACGUUAAUCGGGGCAGGGUGAGUCGACCCCUAAGGCGAGGCCGAAAGGCGUAGUCGAUGGGAAACAGGUUAAUAUUCCUGUACUUGGUGUUACUGCGAAGGGGGGACGGAGAAGGCUAUGUUGGCCGGGCGACGGUUGUCCCGGUUUAAGCGUGUAGGCUGAUUUUCCAGGCAAAUCCGGAAAAUCAAGGCUGAGGCGUGAUGACGAGGCACUACGGUGCUGAAGCAACAAAUGCCCUGCUUCCAGGAAAAGCCUCUAAGCAUCAGGUAACAUCAAAUCGUACCCCAAACCGACACAGGUGGUCAGGUAGAGAAUACCAAGGCGCUUGAGAGAACUCGGGUGAAGGAACUAGGCAAAAUGGUGCCGUAACUUCGGGAGAAGGCACGCUGAUAUGUAGGUGAAGCGACUUGCUCGUGGAGCUGAAAUCAGUCGAAGAUACCAGCUGGCUGCAACUGUUUAUUAAAAACACAGCACUGUGCAAACACGAAAGUGGACGUAUACGGUGUGACGCCUGCCCGGUGCCGGAAGGUUAAUUGAUGGGGUUAGCGGUAACGCGAAGCUCUUGAUCGAAGCCCCGGUAAACGGCGGCCGUAACUAUAACGGUCCUAAGGUAGCGAAAUUCCUUGUCGGGUAAGUUCCGACCUGCACGAAUGGCGUAAUGAUGGCCAGGCUGUCUCCACCCGAGACUCAGUGAAAUUGAACUCGCUGUGAAGAUGCAGUGUACCCGCGGCAAGACGGAAAGACCCCGUGAACCUUUACUAUAGCUUGACACUGAACAUUGAGCCUUGAUGUGUAGGAUAGGUGGGAGGCUUUGAAGUGUGGACGCCAGUCUGCAUGGAGCCGACCUUGAAAUACCACCCUUUAAUGUUUGAUGUUCUAACGUUGGCCCGUUAUCCGGGUUGCGGACAGUGUCUGGUGGGUAGUUUGACUGGGGCGGUCUCCUCCUAAAGAGUAACGGAGGAGCACGAAGGUUGGCUAAUCCUGGUCGGACAUCAGGAGGUUAGUGCAAUGGCAUAAGCCAGCUUGACUGCGAGCGUGACGGCGCGAGCAGGUGCGAAAGCAGGUCAUAGUGAUCCGGUGGUUCUGAAUGGAAGGGCCAUCGCUCAACGGAUAAAAGGUACUCCGGGGAUAACAGGCUGAUACCGCCCAAGAGUUCAUAUCGACGGCGGUGUUUGGCACCUCGAUGUCGGCUCAUCACAUCCUGGGGCUGAAGUAGGUCCCAAGGGUAUGGCUGUUCGCCAUUUAAAGUGGUACGCGAGCUGGGUUUAGAACGUCGUGAGACAGUUCGGUCCCUAUCUGCCGUGGGCGCUGGAGAACUGAGGGGGGCUGCUCCUAGUACGAGAGGACCGGAGUGGACGCAUCACUGGUGUUCGGGUUGUCAUGCCAAUGGCACUGCCCGGUAGCUAAAUGCGGAAGAGAUAAGUGCUGAAAGCAUCUAAGCACGAAACUUGCCCCGAGAUGAGUUCUCCCUGACUCCUUGAGAGUCCUGAAGGAACGU